rnacentral:rRNA from 1 species
AGAGUUUGAUCCUGGCUCAGAACGAACGCUGGCGGCAGGCUUAACACAUGCAAGUCGAACGCUCUUUUCGAAGAGAGUGGCAGACGGGUGAGUAACGCGUGGGAAUCUACCUAGUGGUAAGGAACAACACAGAGAAAUUUGUGCUAAUACCUUAUACGCCCUGAGGGGGAAAGAUUUAUCGCCAUUAGAUGGGCCCGCGUUUGAUUAGCUAGUUGGUGAGGUAAUGGCUCACCAAGGCGACGAUCAAUAGCUGGUCUGAGAGGAUGAUCAGCCACACUGGGACUGAGACACGGCCCAGACUCCUACGGGAGGCACCAGUGGGGAAUAUUGGACAAUGGGCGCAAGCCUGAUCCAGCCAUGCCGCGUGUGUGAUGAAGGCCUUAGGGUUGUAAAGCACUUUCAACGGUGAAGAUAAUGACGGUAACCGUAGAAGAAGCUCCGGCUAACUUCGUGCCAGCAGCCGCGGUAAUACGAAGGGAGCUAGCGUUGUUCGGAAUUACUGGGCGUAAAGCGCACGUAGGCGGAUUGAUCAGUUAGGGG